CGCCCAACCUCCCACCCGUGACUACCUAACACUGUUGCUUCGGCGGGGAGCCCUCUCGGGGGCGAGCCGCCGGGGACUACUGAACUUCAUGCCUGAGAGUGAUGCAGUCUGAGUCUGAAUAUAAAAUCAGUCAAAACUUUCAACAAUGGAUCUCUUGGUUCCGGCAUCGAUGAAGAACGCAGCGAACUGCGAUAAGUAAUGUGAAUUGCAGAAUUCAGUGAAUCAUCGAGUCUUUGAACGCACAUUGCGCCCCCUGGCAUUCCGGGGGGCAUGCCUGUCCGAGCGUCAUUGCUGCCCAUCAAGCCCGGCUUGUGUGUUGGGUCGUCGUCCCCCCCGGGGGACGGGCCCGAAAGGCAGCGGCGGCACCGUGUCCGGUCCUCGAGCGUAUGGGGCUUUGUCACCCGCUCGAUUAGGGCCGGCCGGGCGCCAGCCGACGUCUCCAACCAUUUUCUUCAGGUUGACCUCGGAUCAGGUAGGGAUACCCGCUGAACUUAAGCAUAUCAAUAAGGCGGAGAAA
rnacentral:rRNA from 2 species